GAGUUUGAUUAUGGCUCAGGAUGAACGCUAGCGAUAGGCUUAACACAUGCAAGUCGAGGGGCAGCAUGAACUUAGCUUGCUAAGUUUGAUGGCGACCGGCGCACGGGUGCGUAACGCGUAUGCAACUUGCCUUACAGAGGGGGAUAACCCGUUGAAAGACGGACUAAUACCGCAUAUACUUAUUCGGUUGCAUGACCGGGCAAGGAAAUAUUUAUAGCUGUAAGAUAGGCAUGCGUCCCAUUAGCUGGUUGGUGAGGUAACGGCUCACCAAGGCAACGAUGGGUAGGGGAACUGAGAGGUUUAUCCCCCACACUGGUACUGAGACACGGACCAGACUCCUACGGGAGGCAGCAGUGAGGAAUAUUGGUCAAUGGGCGAGAGCCUGAACCAGCCAAGUCGCGUGAAGGAAGACUGUCCUAAGGAUUGUAAACUUCUUUUAUACGGGAAUAACGGGCGAUACGCGUAUUGCUA
rnacentral:rRNA from 1 species